UGGCAACUUUCACUGGGCAGUGAAAGGUCAGUUGAGAACAACAAGCAAUAACAACCAUACGAAGAAUCUAGCAAACUCAGACUUUACUUCUCCUUUUCGUGGUCCUGGAAACAGCUCAGAAUAAAGUGGAUCUGGACCUCUACAGAAGAGAGGGAGCUCCAGAUUCCAGAUAGGAUUUCACUGUGUUGUCCAGGCUGGAGUGCAGUGGCUCAAUCACAGGUCACGGCAGCCUCGACCUCCUGGGGUUCAGGUGAUCCUCCCAUCUCAGCCUCCCGAGUAGCUGGGGCUACAGGUCUUUUGCUCCACGUGAUAUUGACUGUGAUCAUCUGGAGGGUCCGUGGUUCCAGUGACUUAGCAUCAAAGACGGCCUAACACACACGUCUGGUGCCUCUGCUGGGAUGGCUGAAGCAGAUGGAGGCUGGCCAGCUACUCAGGAGGCGGAGGCAAAGGAUCGCCUGAACCCAGAGGCAGAGGUUGCAGUGAGCCGAGAUUGCACCAUUGUACUAUAGCCUGGGCAACAGAGGGAGACCCUGUCUCAAAG
rnacentral:sRNA from 1 species